UGGCGGCAUGCCUAACACAUGCAAGUCGAACGAAGCCUUCGGGCUUAGUGGCGCACGGGUGCGUAACGCGUGGGAAUCUGCCCUUGGGUUCGGAAUAACAGUUAGAAAUGACUGCUAAUACCGGAUGAUGUCUUCGGACCAAAGAUUUAUCGCCCAAGGAUGAGCCCGCGUAGGAUUAGGUAGUUGGUGGGGUAAAGGCCUACCAAGCCGACGAUCCUUAGCUGGUCUGAGAGGAUGAUCAGCCACACUGGGACUGAGACACGGCCCAGACUCCUACGGGAGGCAGCAGUGGGGAAUAUUGGACAAUGGGCGAAAGCCUGAUCCAGCAAUGCCGCGUGAGUGAUGAAGGCCUUAGGGUCGUAAAGCU
rnacentral:rRNA from 1 species